ACGCUGGCGGCAGGCCUAACACAUGCAAGUCGAGCGGUAGAGAGAAGCUUGCUUCUCUUGAGAGCGGCGGACGGGUGAGUAAUGCCUAGGAAUCUGCCUGGUAGUGGGGGAUAACGUUCGGAAACGGACGCUAAUACCGCAUACGUCCUACGGGAGAAAGCAGGGGACCUUCGGGCCUUGCGCUAUCAGAUGAGCCUAGGUCGGAUUAGCUAGUUGGUGGGGUAAUGGCUCACCAAGGCGACGAUCCGUAACUGGUCUGAGAGGAUGAUCAGUCACACUGGAACUGAGACACGGUCCAGACUCCUACGGGAGGCAGCAGUGGGGAAUAUUGGACAAUGGGCGAAAGCCUGAUCCAGCCAUGCCGCGUGUGUGAAGAAGGUCUUCGGAUUGUAAAGCACUUUAAGUUGGGAGGAAGGGCAGUUGCCUAAUACGUAACUGUUUUGACGUUACCGACAGAAUAAGCACCGGCUAACUCUGUGCCAGCAGCCGCGGUAAUACAGAGGGUGCAAGCGUUAAUCGGAAUUACUGGGCGUAAAGCGCGCGUAGGUGGUUUGUUAAGUUGGAUGUGAAAUCCCCGGGCUCAACCUGGGAACUGCAUUCAAAACUGACUGACUAGAGUAUGGUAGAGGGUGGUGGAAUUUCCUGUGUAGCGGUGAAAUGCGUAGAUAUAGGAAGGAACACCAGUGGCGAAGGCGACCACCUGGACUGAUACUGACACUGAGGUGCGAAAGCAUGGGGAGCAAAC
rnacentral:rRNA from 1 species